GACGAACGCUGGCGGCGUGCUUAACACAUGCAAGUCGAACGAUGACGCCAGCUUGCUUGUGGCUUAGUGGCGAACGGGUGAGUAACACUUAGGUGAUCUUCCCCAAACUUUUGUAUAUGCCUGGUAAACUGGGUCUAAUACCGAUUAUGACCGAUACUCCCUUGGGUGUUGGUGGAAAGCUCCGGCGGUAUUGGAUGGGCCCGCGGCCCAUCUGCUUGUUGGGUGGUUAGUGGCCUACCAAGGCGAAGGAGGGUAGCCGGCCUGAGAGGGGGAACGGCCACAAUGGGACUGAGAGACGGCCCAGACUCCUAUGGGAGGCAGCAGUGGGGAAUAUUGCACAAUGGGAGCAAGCCUGAUGCAGCGACGCCGCGUGAGGGAUGACGGCCUUCGGGUUGUAAACCUCUUUCACCAGGGACGAAGCGAAAGUGACGGUACCUGGAGAAGAAGCACCGGCCAACUACGUG
rnacentral:rRNA from 1 species